AUUGAACGCUGGCGGCAUGCCUAACACAUGCAAGUCGAGCGGAUGAAGGGAGCUUGCUCCUGUAUUCAGCGGCGGACGGGUGAGUAAUGCCUAGGAAUCUGCCUGGUAGUGGGGGAUAACGUCCGGAAACGGGCGCUAAUACCGCAUACGUCCUGAUGGAGAAAGUGGGGGAUCUUCGGUCCUCACGCUAUCAGAUGAGCCUAGGUCGGAUUAGCUAGUUGGUGGGGUAAAGGCCUACCAAGGCGACGAUCCGUAACUGGUCUGAGAGGAUGAUCAGUCACACUGGAACUGAGACACGGUCCAGACUCCUACGGGAGGCAGCAGUGGGGAAUAUUGGACAAUGGGCGAAAGCCUGAUCCAGCCAUGCCGCGUGUGUGAAGAAGGUCUUCGGAUUGUAAAGCACUUUAAGUUGGGAGGAAGGGCAGUAAGUUAAUACCUUGCUGUUUUGACGUUACCAACAGAAUAAGCACCGGCUAACUUCGUG
rnacentral:rRNA from 1 species